GAUCCUGGCUCAGGAUGAACGCUAGCUACAGGCUUAACACGUGCAAGUCGAGGGGCAGCAUGGUCUUAGCUUGCUAAGACUGAUGGCGACCGACGCACGGGUGAGUAACACGUAUCCAACCUGCCGUCUACUCUUGGACAGCCUUCUGAAAGGAAGAUUAAUACAAGAUGGCAUCAUGAGUCCGCAUGUUCAUAUGAUUAAAGGUAUUCCGGUAGACGAUGGGG
rnacentral:rRNA from 1 species